GAUGAACGCUGGCGGCGUGCCUAAUACAUGCAAGUCGAGCGAACAGACGAGGAGCUUGCUCCUUUGACGUUAGCGGCUGACGGGUGAGUAACACGUGGGUAACCUACCUAUAAUGCUGGGAUAACUUCGGGAAACCGGAGCUAAUACCGGCUAAUAUUUCGAACCGCAUGGUUCGAUAGUGAAAGAUGGCUUUGCUAUCACUUAUAGCUGGACCUGCGCCGUAUUAGCUAGUUGGUAAGGUAACGGCUUACCAAGGCAACGAUACGUAGCCGACCUGAGAGGGUGAUCGGCCACACUGGAACUGAGACACGGUCCAGACUCCUACGGGAGGCAGCAGUAGGGAAUCUUCCGCAAUGGGCGAAAGCCUGACGGAGCAACGCCGCGUGAGUGAUGAAGGUCUUCGGAUCGUAAAACUCUGUUAUUAGGGAAGAACAAACGUGGAAGUAACUGUGCACGUCUUGACGGUACCUAAUCAGAAAGCCACGGCUAACUACGUG
rnacentral:rRNA from 1 species